UACGGAAGGCAGCAGGGGGAAUAUUGCACAAUGGGCGAAAGCCUGAUGCAGCUAUGCCGCGUGUAUGAAGAAGGCCUUAGGGUUGUAAAGUACUUUCAUCGGGGAGGAAAAAACAAAACUAAUAAUUUUAUUUCUUGACGUUACCCGAAAAAGAAGCACCGGCUAACUCCGUGCCAGCAGCCGCGGUAAUACGGAGGGUGCUAGCGUUAAUCAGAAUUACUGGGCGUAAAGAGCACGUAGGUGGUUUUUUUAAAGUCAGAUGUGAAAUCCCUGGGCUUAACCUGGAAACUGCAUUUUGAAACUGAAAUACUAGAGUAUCGUAGAGGGAGGUAGAAUUCUAGGUGUAGCGGUGAAAUGCGUAGAUAUCUGGAGGAAUACCUGUGGCGAAAGCGGCCUCCUAAACGAAUACUGACACUGAGGGUGCGAAAGCGUGGGGAGCAAACAGGGAUUAGAUACC
rnacentral:rRNA from 1 species